UGUUCAGAGGCAAAGGGGUGGGCCCUCGAAGUCCUGUGGCGGAAGGAUUCAGUCUCACUCGUUGUCACUGAGUUGUGCGGAGGACAAUAACGGUAUGAGUGGCCCUUGUCUUUACACUUUGAAUUUCAUGAGUGUUUAGCGAAUAGGGUUUUUUCCGUUCUGCACCCAGUGUGUACGUAGGGAGAGGCGCAUUUCCUUUGAUUCCGUCCAAAAGGACCCCGCAACCGGUUGGUAAGAUGGC
rnacentral:rRNA from 1 species